GAUGGAACUCUCCGGAGGGAAGUUAUAUAAACCUAGUGGCGGACGGGUGAGUAACGCGUGGGGAACCUGCCCUGUACCGGGGGACAACAGCCAGAAAUGGCUGCUAAUACCGCAUAAUCCUGCGCUGCCGCAUGGCAGCGCAGGGAAAACUCCGGUGGUACAGGAUGGUCCCGCGUCUGAUUAGCUUGUUGGCGGGGUAACAGCCCACCAAGGCGACGAUCAGUAGCCGGCUUGAGAGAGCGGACGGCCACAUUGGGACUGAGACACGGCCCAGACUCCUGCGGGAGGCAGCAGUGGGGAAUAUUGCACAAUGGGGGGAACCCUGAUGCAGCAAUGCCGCGUGGGUGAAGAAGUACCCCGGUAUGUAAAGCCCUGUCAGCAGGGAAGAAAAUGACGGUACCUGACUAAGAAGCCCCGGCUAACUACGUGCCAGCAGCCGCGGUAAUACGUAGGGGGCGAGCGUUAUCCGGAUUUACUGGGUGUAAAGGGAGCGCAGGCGGCGUGGCAAGUCAGAUGUGAAAACCCGGGGCCCAACCCCGGGACUGCAUUUGAAACUGCCAUGCUGGAGUGCCGGAGAGGCAAGUGGAAUUCCUAGUGUAGCGGUGAAAUGCGUAGAUAUUAGGAGGAACACCAGUGGCGGAGGCGGCUUGCUGGACGGUAACUGACGCUGAGGCUCGAAAGCGUGGGGAGCAAACAGGAUUAGAUACCCUGGUAGUCCACG
rnacentral:rRNA from 1 species